rnacentral:sRNA from 1 species
GAUCAUUACGAGUGAGGGCCUCUGGGUCCAACCUCCCACCCAUGUUUAUUGUACCUUGUUGCUUCGGCGGGCCCGCCUCACGGCCGCCGGGGGGCUUCUGCCCUCUGGCCCGCGCCCGCCGAAGACACCAUUGAACACUGUCUGAAGAUUGCAGUCUGAGCAAUUAGCUAAAUAAGUUAAAACUUUCAACAACGGAUCUCUUGGUUCCGGCAUCGAUGAAGAACGCAGCGAAAUGCGAUACGUAAUGUGAAUUGCAGAAUUCAGUGAAUCAUCGAGUCUUUGAACGCACAUUGCGCCCCUUGGUAUUCCGGGGGGCAUGCCUGUCCGAGCGUCAUUGCUGCCCUCAAGCACGGCUUGUGUGUUGGGCCCCGUCCUCCUUCCCGGGGGACGGGCCCGAAAGGCAGCGGCGGCACCGCGUCCGGUCCUCGAGCGUAUGGGGCUUUGUCACCCGCUCUUGUAGGCCCGGCCGGCGCUUGCCGACAACCAUCAAUCUUUUUUCAGGUUGACCUCGGAUCAGGUAGGGAUACCCGCUGAACUUAAGCAUAUCAAUAAGCGGAGGA